AGAGUUUGAUCCUGGCUCAGAUUGAACGCUGGCGGUAUGCCUAACACAUGCAAGUCGAACGGUAACAGAGGAAAGCUUGCUUUCUUGCUGACGAGUGGCGGACGGGUGAGUAACGCGUGGGAAUCUACCCAGUAGUUGGGGAUAGCCCGGAGAAAUCCGGAUUAAUACCGAAUAAUGUCUACGGACGAAAAGGUGCCUCUUCUUGAAAGCACUUGCUAUUGGAUGAGCCCGCGUUAGAUUAGUUUGUUGGUGGGGUAACGGCCUACCAAGACUACGAUCUAUAGCUGGUUUGAGAGGAUGAUCAGCCACAUUGGGACUGAGACACGGCCCAGACUCCUACGGGAGGCAGCAGUGGGGAAUAUUGGACAAUGGGCGCAAGCCUGAUCCAGCAAUACCGCGUGUGUGAAGAAGGCCUUAGGGUUGUAAAGCACUUUUAUGUAGGAAGAAGGUUUGUUUGUUAAUAGCAGAUGAAUUUGACGGUACUACAAGAAUAAGCACCGGCUAACUCCGUGCCAGCAGCCGCGGUAAUACGGAGGGUGCGAGCGUUAAUCGGAAUUACUGGGCGUAAAGGGUACGUAGGCGGCUUGAUAAGUCAGAUGUGAAAUCCCCGGGCUUAACCUGGGAACUGCAUUUGAAACUGUCUGGCUAGAGUGAGUGAGAGGUUAGUGGAAUUCAAGGCGUAGCGGUGAAAUGCGUAGAGGUCUUGAGGAACAUCAGUGGCGAAGGCGACUAACUGGCACUACACUGACGCUGAGGUACGAAAGCGUGGGGAGCGAACAGGAUUAGAUACCCUGGUAGUCCACGCCCUAAACGAUGAGGACUGGCUGUUGGCGCUAUAGACGCGUCGGUAGCGAAGCUAACGCGUUAAGUUCUCCGCCUGGGGAGUACGACCGCAAGGUUGAAACUCAAAGGAAUUGACGGGGGCCCGCACAAGCGGUGGAGCAUGUGGUUUAAUUCGAUGCAACGCGAAGAACCUUACCAUCCCUUGACAUCCUCAGAACGGUCUGUAAUGGACCCGUGCCUUCGGGAACUGAGUGACAGGUGCUGCACGGCUGUCGUCAGCUCGUGUCGUGAGAUGUUGGGUUAAGUCCCGCAACGAGCGCAACCCCUAUCUAUAGUUGCCAGCACGUAAUGGUGGGAACUCUAUAGAGACUGCCGGUGAUAAGCCGGAGGAAGGUGGGGACGACGUCAAGUCAUCAUGGCCCUUACGGGAUGGGCUACACACGUGCUACAAUGGUGCAUACAGAGGGUUGCCAAGCCGCGAGGUGGAGCUAAUCCCAGAAAGUGCAUCUUAGUCCGGAUUGCAGUCUGCAACUCGACUGCAUGAAGUCGGAAUCGCUAGUAAUCGCGAAUCAGCAAUGUCGCGGUGAAUACGUUCCCGGGCCUUGUACACACCGCCCGUCACACCAUGGGAGUGGGUUGCUCCAGAAGUGGCUAGUCUAACCUUCGGGAAGACGGUCACCACGGAGUGAUUCAUGACUGGGGUGAAGUCGUAACAAGGUAGCCGUUGGGGAACCAGUGGCUG
rnacentral:rRNA from 1 species